ACCAGGCAAGCUGCGUACCUUACAACUCUGGCAGCUCUGGCUGUAUCUAUAAUAGUGGCCGCAACACUGACCUUCGAGACAAUCUACACCUCAAAUUAAGGGUCAAGGUUGAUGCCUGCUCUGAAGGGGAAGGCUGAUGCUGCUUUCAGAACUGCCAUCCUUUGAGGAAAGUCUGUAUAAUGGAAAGGAGAUCAAACAGGUUCUACUGUUUACAGCAGUAUAUGAACUGUUGCUCAAAGUUUAAUGGCAAUGCUAUUUGCAUAAUCAAGGCCAACAGAAGUGCAGAGUGAUGGUUAAUAUCAGUCCCUGAGCCUUGUUCAGUGGCUGAAGACAUCCCUUUUUUCUGGAACUGGAGGAAUGAAACCCUAAUCUACUAACCAUUUAAUUGCUGGUUGAUUCAAACAGUAAGUCAUUCUCAUUACUUACCAGUGUAUAAGCAUGAUUCGAUUGUGGUUAUAUUUAUCUGCUUUUGUUUCAAAGCACCUAUAUACAAAUUUUAAAGAGAACAUCCCAGUUCAGUCUUUUAAUGAGGUUACAAACGAGUAAGCCUAGUAUACCACAAAGCCUAAUAUACUCUUUUUUUCCCUACUCUCAUGACCAGGAUGUGUAAAAUGAUGUUUCCUAAAAAUUCUUUAGUUUAUAAUGUGAAAUCAUGCAUCUAGUGCACACAAAAGAGCAACAGAAGGUGCCUGUGCUAAGCUUCGGCACGCAGCAAUUAAAUCAAAACUUGCUGGAAGAAGUUUAUGCACCUAUACAAUAACAGUGCAACAGCAAAUUGCUCAGGAGACAUGAAAUGGCUAUACAAAAUCAGUGAAGAAUUGUGGCGGUAAUGGGUUUUUUUUGCUAAUAUAGGGGAAAAAAUGACUUUUCCCCCCUUUUACUUAAGUCUCAGAAAAAAAUUAAUUUGCACAGUUAGUCUCUGCUAUGAUCCUGCUCCAACUGUAGCUAUUUAUUGUAUGCCACUAAACCAGACAACACUGGGGACAGGGGGAAAAGAAGAGAGAGAGAACAAGAGAUUGAUUGAUUCCUGAAGUCAAGUACUUUUGUGCAAGUGUGUAUUGAGGUCUGUUUCUAAUAGACCUUCAAGUGGUUGAUACUGCAACUUUAUGCAUCUCAGCUGGUCUGUAAUGACAGGAGAGGGGUGUGGUGUUUUACAAUCUACUUGCUAGCAUAUGGGAAAAUAACCGUAUGAUAACAGACGCAAGCUCAUGCCUUGAUUGAAGAAAAUGCAUCCCUUAUUUAAUUUGUUCUGGCACCUCCAGUACUAGUGAUAUUUUACAAUAAAAUGAAAGAAACUAAAAAUAUCUAAAAAAAUAUGGGACUGGUUUCCAGUAAUGUCAGCUGCUGAUUGUUCAAAGCCGAUUCAAAAUGCUUCAGAAUUUGAGAAAUGAGAUUUUGGAAUAAAUCAAACUAUCAAAAUACUUUAACCUAUGGGACUUUGUUAAUUGUACAGUUUGCUUUUUACCAUUAAGAGAUGUUACAUGCUUUUCUGAACACUUUUAGAUUGCUCUUUCUGAUGAACAGAUCUUUUAAGUACUGUACCACAAGCUACUGUAUUCACACAUGCUUUUCUAAAAGUUUUUACUAAUCUCUCCAAGUGUAAAUUCUACUAAGACUCGUAUGGAGACCCAGAAAGGAUGACAACAUUUAUAUAUCUGCAUAAAUGCAGUUGUACCUCCUUUUUGAUUGAAAAAGAAUUUAUUUUCAUUGUUCAGA